rnacentral:rRNA from 1 species
UUUCCGUAGGUGAACCUGSGGAUGGAUCAUUAGUGAAUUUUAGGCGGUCUAACUUGUAGAGCCUGACCUCCACUCUCUAACACUGUGCACUUGAUGGCAAUUUGAAAGCUUCUCACGAGGCGGACAUUUUGCGGCUUCAUUUUAAACAUUAGUUAAAGUAUGUAACGAAAUAUCGAAACAAAAAAAAACUUUCAACAACGGAUCUCUUGGCUCUCGCAUCGAUGAAGAACGCAGCGAAAUGUGAUAAGUAAUGUGAAUUGCAGAAUUCAGUGAAUCAUCGAAUCUUUGAACGCACCUUGCGCUCUCUGGUAUUCCGGAGAGCAUGUCUGUUUGAGUGUCAUGAACUCUUCAACCCACCAGUUUCUAGUAGACUGUUUGUGGUGUUUGGAUCUUGAGCGCUGCUAGUCUGACUAGCUCGUUCGUAAUACAUUAGCAUCUCUAAUUCAAAUUCGGAUUGACUCAGUGUAAUAGACUAUUCGCUGAGGACACUAUUAAUUUAGUGGCCGUACUAGAACCAGUAGAAGCUUCGAACUACUUUAGUCAACUUUGAUUUAGACCUCAGAUCAGGCAGGAUUACCCGCUGAACUUAAGCAUAU